UACCAGCACCCCGAGUGGUCGGGACGAUUAUUGGGCCUAAAGCAUCCGUAGCCGGUCCUACAAGUCUUCCGUUAAAUCCACUGCUUAACAGAUGGGCUGCGGAAGAUACUAUAGGGCUAGGAGGCGGGAGAGGCAAGCGGUACUCAGUGGGUAGGGGUAAAAUCCUCUGAUCCAUUGAAGACCACCAGUGGCGAAGGCGGCUUGCCAGAACGCGCUCGACGGUGAGGGAUGAAAGCUGGGGGAGCAAACCGG
rnacentral:rRNA from 1 species